rnacentral:rRNA from 1 species
GGAUGCAUGGGGAACCCUGAUGCAGCGACGCCGCGUGGUAGGAUGAAGGCCUUCGGGUUGUAAACUCCUUUUGUAGGGGACAAUGAUGAUGGUACCCUACGAAUAAGCCACGGCUAACUCUGUGCCAGCAGCCGCGGUAAGACAGAGGUGGCGAGCGUUGUUCGGAAUCACUGGGCUUANAGGGCGCGUAGGUGGUAGUGCAAGUCUGAGGUGGAAUCCUAUGGCUUAACCAUAGAAUUGCCUUGGAAACUGUAUUACUUGAGUCAGUGAGGGGAGGGNAGAAUUCCUGGUGUAGCGGUGAAAUGCGUAGAUAUCAGGAGGAAGGCCUGUAGCGAAGGCGGCCCUCUGGCGCUGAACUGACACUGAGGCGCGAAAGCGUGGGUAGCAAACAGGAUUAGAUACCCUGGUAGUCCACGCCCUAAACGGUGGGCACUAGGUGUAGGGCUCGUAAGGGUUCUGUGCCGAAGGGAAACCAUUAAGUGCCCCGCCUGGGGAGUACGGCCGCAAGGUUGAAACUCAAAAAAAUUGACGGA